AAGCUCGUAGUUGGAUUUCUGUUAAUUUUUAUAUAUAAUAUCACGAUAUUUAUAUAAUAUUAACAUAAUUCAUAUUACUUUUUAGUAUAUGAAACUUUACUUUGAGAAAAUUAGAGUGCUUAAAGCAGGCUAUUGCCUUGAAUACUCCAGCAUGGAAUAAUAUUAAGGAUUUUUAUUCUUCUUAUUGGUUCUAGAAUAAAAAUGAUGAUUAAUAGGGACAGUUGGGGGCAUUUGUAUUUAACAGUCAGAGGUGAAAUUCUUAGAUUUGUUAAAGACAAACUACUGCGAAAGCAUUUGCCAAGGAUGUUUUCAUUAAUCAAGAACGAAAGUUAGGGGAUCGAAGACGAUCAGAUACCGUCGUAGUCUUAACCAUUAACUAUGCCAACUAGAGAUUGGAGGUUGUUCCUUACUCCUUCAGCACCUUA
rnacentral:rRNA from 2 species